GAUGAACGCUGGCGGCGUGCCUAAUAUAUGCAAGUCGAACGCGAGCACUUGUGCUCGAGUGGCGAACGGGUGAGUAAUACAUAAGUAACCUGCCCUAGACAGGGGGAUAACUAUUGGAACCGAUAGCUAAGACCGCAUAGGUACGGACACUGCAUGGUGACCGUAUUAAAAGUGCCUCAAAGCACUGGUAGAGGAUGGACUUAUGGCGCAUUAGCUGGUUGGCGGGGUAACGGCCCACCAAGGCGACGAUGCGUAGCCGACCUGAGAGGGUGACCGGCCACACUGGGGACUGAGACACGGGCCCAGACUCCUACGGGAGGCAGCAGUAGGGAAUUUUUCGGGCAAUGGGGGAAACCCUGACCGAGCAACGCCGCGUGAAGGGAAGAAGGUUUUUCGGAUUGUAAACUUCUGUUAUAAAGGAAGAACGGCGGGCUACAGGGAAAUGGGUAGCCGAGUGACGAUACUUUAUUAGAAAGCCACGGGCUAAACUACGUGCCAGCAGCCGCUGU
rnacentral:rRNA from 1 species